CCAUCAAUGAACUCACUUGUUUUAAGAAGAAACACAAACAGUACAACUUCCAGAAUGUCCCAACUAGCAUGCCCAGUAGGAUUCUGAGAAGUGUAGUGCCAAAAAAGGAGCUGUUCCCAUAACCCGCAUGGUCACAAUGGCACACAACCCUCUGGGUUUGGAUGGGUAAGUUUCUCUCAUAUCUGGAAGGCUUAAAACUU
rnacentral:lncRNA from 11 species